GGGAUUCAAUGCUGGAAUUAUUUUCCUAAUCUCUCUAACAAAACGACCCCUUAGUAACAUCCAAAGAUAUAUGACCGGUCUUAAUCAAUCAAUUUCACAAAGAUAGAGAUUAGGUGACAUUAUUUUCCAGAAUAAACCCCACCCAGUCCUCCAAAAUUGUGUUAGGUAACAUCCAAAGAUAUAUAACCGGUCUUAAUCAAUCAAUUUCACAAAGAUAGAGAUUAGGUGACAUUAUUUUCCAGAAUAAACCCCACCCAGUCCUCCAAAAUUGUGUUAGGUCACAAAAACAGUUAACAAGCAGCAGAAAAAUACUAUGUAGCCGCGGGAAACAGAACCAGUCGCCGGAAAAUAAAAAAGUUGUCGGAAUGUGAUGAAACUUGGAGGGUAGAGUCGGAAUUAGUAGGCGAGCAAUCUGUCCUCGAGGAACUUCUCCAAAAAAUGAUCGGAAAAGGUCGUACUCGUCGGCGCGUGGGACCAUGCGCUCGCCGAAACCCUAGCUUCUGACAACGCGUGAGGGCGUGUGAGGCUGCUUGUACCGGAGAGGUUGAGUGGGGUUUGGCCGUCGGACGAUGAUGGAUCUUUUGGUGGUGUUGGAUUUUGCACAACACUGACGGAGAGAG
rnacentral:lncRNA from 1 species